rnacentral:rRNA from 1 species
GACGAACCGUGCAAACGUUGUUCGGAUUCACUGGGCUUAAAGGGUGCGUAGGCGGGUGAUCAAGUCAGGGGUGAAAUCCUCCCGCUUAACGGGAGAAGUGCCUUUGAUACUGGUCGUCUUGAGGGAGGUAGGGGCAUGUGGAACUUCCGGUGGAGCGGUGAAAUGCGUAGAUAUCGGAAGGAACGCCGGUGGCGAAAGCGACGUGCUGGAUCUCUUCUGACGCUGAGGCACGAAAGCCAGGGUAGCGAACGGG